rnacentral:rRNA from 2 species
CCCAGGAAGACUACCUGGUAGAUAGGCUUAAGGUGAAAGCAUGGUAACAUGUUGAGCUGAUAAGUACUAAUAGGUCGAGGGCUUGACCUAA